rnacentral:rRNA from 1 species
AACAAACGCUGGCGGCGUGUCUUAAGCAUGCAAGUCGAGCGGCAGGCGCAGCAAUGCGCUGAGAGCGGCGGACUGGUGAGUAACGCGUGGGCAAUCUACCUUUGGCAUGGGGAUAGCCACUAGAAAUAGUGGGUAAUACCGAAUACGUUCCCUGGGGGGAGGUUUCAGGGAAGAAAGGGUGCUACGGCACCGGCCGGAGAUGAGCUCGCGUCCCAUUAGCUAGUUGGUGAGGUAACGGCCCACCAAGGCGAUGAUGGGUAGCCGGCCUGAGAGGGUGUACGGCCACACUGGGACUGAGAUACGGCCCAGACUCCUACGGGAGGCAGCAGCUAAGAAUAUUCCGCAAUGGACGAAAGUCUGACGGAGCGACGCCGCGUGGAUGAUGAAGGCCGAAAGGUUGUAAAGUCCUUUUGCUGGGGAAGAAUAAGUGUGGGAGGGAAUGCCCGCAUGAUGACAUGAACCGGCGAAUAAGCCCCGGCCAACUACGUGCCAGCAGCCGCGGGUAACACGUAGGGGCGAGCGUUGUUCGGAAUUACUGGCGUAAAGGGCAUGUAGGCG